GACGAACGCUGGCGGCGUGCUUAACACAUGCAAGUCGAACGGAAAGGCCCUGCUUUUGUGGGGUGCUCGAGUGGCGAACGGGUGAGUAACACGUGAGUAACCUGCCCUUGACUUUGGGAUAACUUCAGGAAACUGGGGCUAAUACCGGAUAGGAGCUCCUGCUGCAUGGUGGGGGGUGGAAAGUUUCGGCGGUUGGGGAUGGACUCGCGGCUUAUCAGCUUGUUGGUGGGGUAGUGGCUUACCAAGGCUUUGACGGGUAGCCGGCCUGAGAGGGUGACCGGCCACAUUGGGACUGAGAUACGGCCCAGACUCCUACGGGAGGCAGCAGUGGGGAAUAUUGCACAAUGGGCGGAAGCCUGAUGCAGCAACGCCGCGUGCGGGAUGACGGCCUUCGGGUUGUAAACCGCUUUCGCCUGUGACGAAGCGUGAGUGACGGUAAUGGGUAAAGAAGCACCGGCUAACUACGU
rnacentral:rRNA from 1 species